AGAUGGCAAGUAGCACAUGAAAAGAUGUUCAUUAGUCAUUGGGGAGAUGCAAAUUAAAAAUCACAGUGAGCUAUCACUACCCACCUAUCAGAAUGAUUAAAGUAAGAAACAGUAGUAACACUAAAUGCUGGUGAGGCUGUGGACAAACUGGAUCACUCAUGCGUUGCUGGUGGAAAAGUGAAACCAGCUACUCUGGAAAACAGUAUGGCAGUUUCUUUUCUUCUCUUUUUUUCUUUUCUUUUCCCUUCCUCCCUCCCUCCCUCCCUUCCUUCCUUCCCUCCCUCUCUCUUUCCUUUCCCUUCCUUCCUUCUUCUUUCCUUUUUUUUGUUUGUUUUUGUUUUUUUGAGACAGGGUCUGGCUCUGUUGCCCAAGCUGGAGUGCAGUGGCGUGAUCAUAGCUGACUUCAACCUCCGCCUCACAGGCUCAAGGGAUCCUCCCACUGUAGCCUCCCAAUUAGCUGGGACUGCAGGCACACAUCACCAUGUCUGGCUUUUUCUUUUUUCUUUUUUUGGAGAUGGGGUUUCGCCAUGUUGCCCUGGCUGGUCUUGAAUUCCUGGGCUCAAGUCAUCCUUCUGCCUUGUUCUCCCAAAGUGCUGGGAUUACAGAUGGGAGCCAUCAUGCACCCAGCCUUGACAGUUUCUUCUAAAACUAAGCAUGGACUUACCAUGGGACCCAGUGGUUGUGUUCCUAAGCAUUUACCCAGAGAAAUGAAAAUAAAAACCUGUACAUGAACACACAGAGUAGCUUUAUUUGUAAGAACCUGAAACUGGAAACAACCCAAGUGUCCUUCAACAGGCGAAUGUUUAAACACACUAUGUUACAUCCAUACUAUAGAAUAUUAAUACUAUUCAGCAAUAAAAAGGAAUAAACUCUCGAUACAUGUCAAAACCUUGGAUAGAUCUCAAAGGGAUUGUGCUGAAUGAAAACAAUCAAAUCUGAUUCCAUUUAUGUAGCAUUUUUGAAAUGACAAGACAUAAAGAUCAGAUUAGUGACUGCCAAGGGUUAGGGAAGUACAGGGAGGGAGGGAGGUAGCUGUGGCUAUAAAAGGGUAGCAUGAGAAAUCUUUACACUGAAAAUGUUUUGUAUCUUGGCUGUGGUGGUGGUCAUCAGCAUACAUGUGAUAAAAUUAUAUAGAACUAAAUACAGACACACAAUAAGCAUGUGUUAAACUGGUGAACUCUGAAUAAGGUUGAUGGAUUGUAUCAAUGUCAAUUUCUUGAUUUUUGUCCUAUAGUGUGUUAUUGUCCUAUAGUUAUGCAAGAGGUUACCACUGGGGAAAGUAUGUGAAGAGUAUAUGGAAUCUCUGUAUUAUAGCUUACAAAAUGGAUAUAUAAAAAAUUAGAGAGUAGGAAUGGGAAUGAGAAAGGGAGGACUCUUCACUUUUUACUUGAUACCUUGCUUUUACUGUUUUUACCACAUACGUGCAUUAUUUUUUUAAAUUACCAUGUGUGUUUGGCUCUGCAAAAAAAAAAAAUCAUUUCUGGAAACUUCACCUAAGAAAAUACAUAUACAAUAAGAUUGUUUUGGAAACAUACAGCUAGUUGUUAACCUUGGAAUUUGAAUUACAAUGCAAGAAAGUAGUUCAGUAUUGAAUCUGAGUAUUGGCACAAUUGCAAAUUUCCUAUUACAAUUAUUGAUCAGAAGGGAAGAGGGAGUUCAGAAAUUACAAUCUGGAUCAUGAGUGUAAGCAUUAGUCUAGAAAUUAUCUAGUUCCUCCAGAGAAGAUUAAAGUCAGCCACUGGAUUCAGAAAAUAGGAUGAUAAAGUCUUCAAAGAAAGACUGGGUAGAGCCAGGAAAUAUGCAUCUACAAUAAAACAUUAUCCCACUUAAGCCUGGGAAAAGAUUCAGGAUUAAUUUAAGUAGUUAAUACAUUUAGAAAUCAAUGGGCAAGAUGCACAGUUGUACUGCAAUGUGAAUCUACAAUUUUUUUUUUUUGAGAUGGAAUCUCACUCUGUCGCCCAGGCUGGAGUGCAGUGACCCGAUCUCGGCUCACUGCAACCUCCGCCUCCCAGGUUCAAGCGAUUCUCCCGCAUAAGCCUCCUGAGUACCUGGGAUUGCAGGUGUGCACCAUCACACACAGCUUAAUUUUUGUAUUUUUAGUAGAGAUGGGGUUUCACCAUGAUGGUCAGGCUGGUCUCAAACUGCUGACCUCAAGUGAUCCACCUGCCUCAGUCUCCCAAAGUGCUGGGAUUACAGGCAUGAGCCACUGCGCCCGGCCAAAUUUUUUAUUUUUCAUUUUUAUUAUUUUGUGUAUCAGAAUACAUUUUAAAAAAUCAAAAAUUGUAAAAGUAUACAAAUAAAAUGGAAAGAU
rnacentral:lncRNA from 1 species